UACGAAGGGGCUAGCGUUGCUCGGAAUCACUGGGCGUAAAGCGCACGUAGGCGGCUUCUUAAGUCAGGGGUGAAAUCCUGGAGCUCAACUCCAGAACUGCCUUUGAUACUGAGGAGCUUGAGUCCGGGAGAGGUGAGUGGAACUGCGAGUGUAGAGGUGAAAUUCGUAGAUAUUCGCAAGAACACCAGUGGCGAAGGCGGCUCACUGGCCCGGUACUGACGCUGAGG
rnacentral:rRNA from 1 species